rnacentral:rRNA from 1 species
CUAUAUAAUUAAAUAUUUUAAAGGCACCUGAUCCCAUCUGAAUUUAAAAGCUAAGCAGGAUCAGUCCGGGUUAGUACUUGGAUGGGAAACUUCAAAUAACAGGUGUCGUAAGCU